UACGGAGGGAGCUAGCGUUGUUCGGAAUUACUGGGCGUAAAGCGCACGUAGGCGGCUAUUCAAGUCAGGGGUGAAAGCCCGGGGCUCAACCCCGGAACUGCCCUUGAAACUAGAUAGCUAGAAUCUUGGAGAGGUCAGUGGAAUUCCGAGUGUAGAGGUGAAAUUCGUAGAUAUUCGGAAGAACACCAGUGGCGAAGGCGACUGACUGGACAAGUAUUGACGCUGAGGUGCGAAAGCGUGGGGAGCAAACAGG
rnacentral:rRNA from 1 species